rnacentral:rRNA from 1 species
AUUGAACGCUGGCGGCAGGCCUAACACAUGCAAGUCGAGCGAGCGGCGGACGGGUGAGUAAUGUCUGGGAAACUGCCCGAUGGAGGGGGAUAACUACUGGAAACGGUAGCUAAUACCGCAUACUAUCGGAUGGGCCCAGAUGGGGUUAGCUAGUAGGUGGGGUAACGGCUCACCAAGGCGACGAUCCCUAGCUGGUCUGAGAGGAGGACCAUCCACACUGGAACUGAGACACGGUCCAGAGUCCUCCGGGAGGCAGACGUGGGUAAUAUUGCACAAUGGGCGAAAGCCUGAUGCAGCCAUGCCGCGUGUAUGAAGAAGGCCUUCGGGUUGUAAAGUACUUUCGGCGGGGAGGCGUUACCCGCAGAAGAAGCACCGGCUAACUCCGUGCCAGCAGCCGCGGUAAUAC